ACCUGGCUGGCUCAGUUGGUGGAGCGUGUGACUAUUGAUCUCAGGGUUGUGGGUUUAAGCCCCACAUUGGGCA